GACGAACGCUGGCGGCACGCCUAACACAUGCAAGUCGAGCGAGAAUUUAAAAAUGGAUUCCUUCGGGAUGAAGUUUUUAAGGAAAGCGGCGGACGGGUGAGUAACGCGUGGGUAACCUACCCUAUACUCAGGGAUAGCCACUGGAAACGGUGAAUAAUACCUGAUAAAACUCUAACACCACAUGGUGAAUGAGUCAAAGUUCCGGCGGUAUAGGAUGGACCCGCGUAUCAUUAGCUAGUUGGUGAGGUAACGGCUCACCAAGGCUACGAUGAUUAGCCGGCCUGAGAGGGUGAACGGCCACACUGGAACUGAGACACGGUCCAG
rnacentral:rRNA from 1 species